GACGAACGCUGGCGGCGUGCCUAAUACAUGCAAGUAGAACGCACAGUUUAUACCGUAGCUUGCUACACCAUAGACUGUGAGUUGCGAACGGGUGAGUAACGCGUAGGUAACCUGCCUGGUAGCGGGGGAUAACUAUUGGAAACGAUAGCUAAUACCGCAUAAUAUUGAUUAUUGCAUGAUAAUUAAUUGAAAGGUGCAAUUGCACCACUACCAGAUUGACCUGCGUUGUAUUAGCUAGUAGGUGAGGUAACGGCUCACCUAGGCGACGAUACAUAGCCGACCUGAGAGGGUGAUCGGCCACACUGGGACUGAGAUCCGGCCCAGACUCCUACGCGAGGCAGCAGUAGGGAAUCUUCGGCAAUGGACGAAAGUCUGACCGAGCAACGCCGCGUGAGUGAAGAAGGUUUUCGGAUCGUAAAGCUCUGUUGUAAGAGAAGAACGGGUGUGAGAGUGGAAAGUUCACACUGUGACGGUAUCUUACCAGAAAGGGACGGCUAACUACGUG
rnacentral:rRNA from 1 species